CCUAGCUGCCUGGAAGCCAGUAUUCUGCUAGCAGCCUUCAGAUGAAGAUGUAGCACUCUCAGCUCCUCCUGCACCAUGCCUGCCUGGACACUGCCAUGUUCCCACCUUGAUGAUAAUGGACAAAACCUCUGAACGUGUAAAUGCUACUUGGAGGCCUAUGAGACGGAGGGAGUGAGGGUGUCCGUCAUCAAGAGGACCAUUUGAUGAAUCCGUGCAGUCUACAGCUGCUUUGCAUGCCAAAGCCUAUCCCAAGGACUUCAGACACAAAUAGACACGUGCACACGCAAAGCAGAACUGGCCACGCUUCUGCACAAAUGAGCACAAGGAGCUGAGGCCUAAUGGAAGUUGGAUGUGUAUCACUGAAGACCAUCAUGAUGGAAGCAGCUCUGUUCACCACACACCCCAUAUCAUGCUGUCCUGCCUGACCACAGGCCCCAAACAAGGAGCUCAGCCAACCACAUGACUAAAGCCAUGAUGAAGGAAUUAAAUUGCCCUCCA
rnacentral:lncRNA from 1 species